AAAUUCAUCAAAUAUACCACUAAAUAAUUCUAUUACAAUCUUUACAACACAUAUAUGCUACAAUAUGCUACUCUUCACUGAGUAGGACUUCGCGGCUUCACACUUGGCUUCACACUUCACGUCUUCAGAUUUCACACUUGAGCUUCUGUAGAAGAGGAACCACAACAAUUUUAAGUCUACAAUACAACAAUUGAUACUAAUCAAGGAUAAAAA
rnacentral:lncRNA from 1 species